rnacentral:rRNA from 1 species
UACGGAGGGUGCAAGCGUUGUUCGGAUUCACUGGGUAUAAAGGGUGCGCAGGCGGCCUGAUAAGUCAGGGGUUAAAUGUGACGGCUCAACCGUCAACCCGCCCCUGAAACUGUCUGGCUUGAGUCCGGGAGAGGAAGGUGGAAUUCCUGGUGUAGCGGUGAAAUGCGUAAAUAUCAGGAGGAACACCGAUGGCGAAGGCAGCCUUCUGGCCCGGUUCUGACGCUCAGGCACGAAAGCCAGGGGAGCAAACGGG